AUGGCGACCGGCGCACGGGUGAGUAACACGUAUCCAACCUGCCGAUGACUCGGGGAUAGCCUUUCGAAAGAAAGAUUAAUACCCGAUGGCAUAGUUCUUCCGCAUGGUAGAACUAUUAAAGAAUUUCGGUCAUCGAUGGGGAUGCGUUCCAUCAGGUUGUUGGCGGGGUAACGGCCCACCAAGCCUUCGAUGGAUAGGGGUUCUGAGAGGAAGGUCCCCCACAUUGGAACUGAGACACGGUCCAAACUCCUACGGGAGGCAGCAUG
rnacentral:rRNA from 1 species